NNNNNNCUCCCUCCGUCCCAAAAUUCUUGUCUUAGAUUUGUCUAGAUACGGAUGUAUCAAGUCACAUUUUAGUAUUAGAUACAUCCGUAUCUAGACAAAUCUAAGACAAGAAAUUUGGGACAGAGGGAGUAGUUG
rnacentral:pre_miRNA from 1 species